GGACAAGCUUCAAGUCUAGAGCCUGUAGACUUUUCUUGGUGUUUCCAGAAAUUCACUGGAAAUUAUCCUCACGCCUUCUAACUGGUGGCUUUAGGAUUUUAUCAGGACACGCUGCAUGAAUGGCAGACCCCGGCUGCAAGCAAGAGAUGUGAGGAUGCCUGUUGAGCAUUAUGAAUGCAGGGAGUGAACUCCUCCUGUUCCCAGUCCGUGGCCUUUGAGUGAGCUCCCAUCCCUGGCUCCUAGGACGGGACAGCUAACACAGAGCUCCGAGUCAAGCAGACACAGUGGGUGCCAUCCUGACACCUCAAGGGAACAGCACAUCUGGGAAAAGUGUCUAAUAGAGAAGAGGAGUCAAGAGAAGAAGGGGGAGAAUCACAGCCCUGAGGACACCAUCUAUGUUCUGGAAUUCUACCAUGCUUAAAGGAAACCACACAUUCAAAAUAAUGCUAACCUGUCAAGUUAUUGAUCUGCACUGUACAUAUUUCCUGGUCAUAGGCAGCUUCCACACAAGAACAUCUGGAUGCAAAUUAAAGAAUUCAAUUACUCAAGCCUAAGUGAUAGAGGAGACCUCGGCUACUCUGCCUGAGCACAUCACUGCUGGAUCUCAAAAUCUGCAAGAACUUCCUAGGGCUUCAGGAACUUUCAUGUGCAUACCAGUCACCUGGGAAUCUUGUUACGAUGCAUAUUCUUUUUCAGUAAGCCCAAAUUCUGCAAUUCUUAUAAGGUCUUAGGGGACAUGAUGUUUGCUUCUAGUGGUCCAUGGUCUACUCCUGAAGGUCCACCAUGCCCAGCUUCAUCUCCCCACCCUCUGGAAACUCUCCUGUACCCAAGCCACUUGCUCUCUUCUAAAUAGGCAUUGUGUUCCCAUGUUCCCAUGUGUCUGCCUCUUUCAACUUCUCCUCUAAAAAUUCUCCAUGACCCCCAAGCAUAAGCCUCCAGCAGCAAGCUCAAAAAUGCUUUCUACUCUGUUGUGUUGCCCGGCCCACUUCAAGAGUAGAUGCUCAAUUCCUUCUUCCCCUAGUCGUAUUUGCUGCUACUUUUGCAGGCUGCUGGAACACUUUCACUCUGAGGAUUCUGAUGAACACAGUUCUUGCCCUCUUCACUUUUCCAAUCUGGUUGCAGGCACAGCGGGGGACAGCAGGAGUGCAACACAGUAACUUAAUAUAAUAUGGAGCUGCUAUUAUGGAGGGAAACAUUCACUGCUCUGAAAGGACUCAACAGCUGAGUCUUAAAGAAGGAUUUUACAAGAUUGACAAAGAAAUGGGUUAUCUCCAGAUAGGAAGGAAAAAUCACAAGGAAUAGUACAGCAAGGAAAGAGGAAACAGCACUGGACUUGGGGAAAAGGGAAAUCCUUGAGAUGUUGCUAAGGCAUAAAGAGCAAGACAGAGAGUGUCAGAAGAUGACACUGACGUCACCUGACUCCUGCUGCUGAGCUUCUCUGACAUUUUCUCAAGGGCUCAAGGCUUGGAUACCCUCUGAUAUGGUUUAUCUGUGUCCCCGCCCAAAUCUCACCUUGGUUUGUAAUCAUCUCCAUGUGUCAAGAAUGGGACCAGGUGGAGAUAAUUGAAUCAUGGGGGCAGUUUCCCACAUACUGUUCACAUGGUAGUAAAUAAGUCUCAUGAGCUCUGAUGGUUUUAUAAAUGGGAGUUCCCCUGCACAGGCUCUUUUUGCCUGCCACCAUGGAAGACACCCCUUUGCCCUUCCUUUAUUUUCUGCCACAAUUGUGAGGCCUCCCUAGCUAUGUGGAAUUGUGAGUGCAUUAAACCUCUUUCCUUUACAAAAUUACCCAGUCUUGGGCAUGUCUUUAUUAGCAGCAUGAGGACAGACUAAUACACCCUCUUUCAAUACCUAAAAUAGACAAAGCCCUAUUUGGAAUUUUGGAAAAACACAAUCUAGUCUCCGAAGGUAGGCACAGAAGCUCUGAGCUGACACAAUAUUGAAGUCGUUACUUGCCUGGUCCUUAGGCAUUUCCUAGUCCACAAUCACACAUCCA
rnacentral:lncRNA from 10 species